AAACGCAGCGAAAUGCGAUACUUGGUGUGAAUUGCAGAAUCCCGUGAACCAUCGAGUCUUUGAACGCAAGUUGCGCCCCAAGCCUUAGGGCCGAGGGCACGUCUGCCUGGGUGUCACG
rnacentral:rRNA from 1 species